rnacentral:rRNA from 1 species
AGGGGCUACCUCGAGUGCCACCUGAUGAAGGUGGCUUUUCCUAGGUCUAAAAAGCCUUGGGAAUAAGAGGGGGGCAAGACUGGUGUCAGCCGCCGCGGUAACACCAGCCCCUCGAGUGGUGGGGAUGAUUAUUGGGCCUAAAGCGUCCGUAGCCUGCCGUGUAAGUUUCCCGUUAAAUCCAGCGUCUUAAGCGUUGGACCGCGGGAAAUACUGUACGGCUAGAGAGUGGGAGAGGUCAGCGGUAUUCUGGGGGUAGGGGCGAAAUCCUUUGAUCCCCGGAGGACCACCAGUGGCGAAGGCUGCUGUCUAGAACACGUCUGACGGUCAGGGACGAAAGCUGGGGUAGCGAACCGGAUUAGAUACCCGGGUAGUCCCAGCCGUAAACGAUGCAUGCUAGGUGUUGGGUUGGCCACGAGCCACCCCAGUGCCGCAGGGAAGCCGUUAAGCAUGCCGCCUGGGA